ensembl:snRNA U6 U6 spliceosomal RNA
GUGCUCGCUUGGGCAACACAUAUACUAAAAUUGCACCGCUAUAGAGAGGAUUAGCAUGGCCCCUGCACAAGGAUGACAGGCAAAUCUGUGAAGCGUUCCAAAAUAAA